rnacentral:misc_RNA from 1 species
GGGCGUUCUCUCUCCAGUUUGAAGACGAUCAUCCCGCUGUCAUGACCGGCUGCAAGAAGGUUCAUUUCUGGAUGUGCGGCAAGAAUCCAGAAUCGGUCAUGCUCACGACGGAAUGUCUGGAUACCAGUGCGCUUUGUAGCAUCCCAGAUGCGGAUGCUCUUGUCUUCAGAGUUGGAGACUAUAAUGUCUUGCUUAGCAUGAAACAUCACGCAUGAUACGUUAUUCAUGUGCCCUCUUAAUGUGUCCACUUCCCAGGCCUUUGUAUCAUUCAUUCGCCACAAUUUCACUUGACGAUCAUCAGCCCCCGACACAAUCAAAGGUAGUGAAGGAUGGAAUGAAGCCCAGUUAACUCCCCGAUCAUGCCCCUCA